rnacentral:tRNA from 1 species
CGGAAUGUGACGCAGCCCGGUAGCGUGUUUGUUUUGGGAACAAAUUGUCAUAGGUUCAAAUCCUAUCAUUCCGA